GGAAGGAUCAUUACAAAUCCAUCCACGUCUCCUUCAAAAGAGACCACGUUGAAAUGUUUCUCUUCCUGCCUGACUCCGAGACGCAGCCUUGUGCUGCCCUCGUGCUAGUGUAUGGUCGAGCUCUCUCUCGUCCUCCUCUUCUCUGGGGUGGACGAGAGAUAUAAACUGCAUCUUGUUGUCCAAAUGUAUAUUCACUAGUUGAUUUCAACUAUAAGUACAACUUAUAACAAUGGAUCUCUAGGCUCUUGCAUCGAUGAAGAACGCAGCCAGACGCGAAAUGUGUUAUGACUUGCAAUCUUCGCGAAUCAUUUAAUCUUUGAACGCAACUUGCACCCUCGGGCUUGACCCUUGGGUAUACUUGUUUGAGUAUCGUCUAUGCUCUCACCACCGAACGUGCCCUCACAGGCACCUCGGAGGGUGGAUUUGAGGCGUAGGAUUGCCCUUUAGGGGGUGCCAACCUUGCCUCCAAAUGCAUGAUCUUGCGCCAAUGCACAAGUCCUGCCUAGCUGCUUGUGAGAAAUCUCUCGCUGGCUGGUCAUAUGUUAAAUCCUGAACGUCUGUAGGGAAGGCACACAUGGCCGUGUCAGUGUGAGAAACUUCUCACAUGCAACCUGGGAACCAACUUGGGAUAACGUCCAUCGAGUUUGGUUACUUGUCAACAUUGGACCCUGGAGGCCUACCCGUGCCUUGCGGAUCAAUUGAACGAACGACAGGUCCUCACAGGCCUUGCCGCUCUAUCUACCUUGACGUACCGAUCUCAAAUCAAGUAAGAUUACCCGCUGAACUUAAGCAUAUCAGUAAGCGGAGGAAAAGAAACUAACAAGGAUUCCCUCAGUAACGGCGAGUGAACCGGGAACAGCUCAAAUUUGGAAUCUGGCAUCCGUGAGGGUGUCCGAAUUGUCAAUAAAAGGGCUUGCUUGUGCUAACCGGAGGAGUCCAAGUCCCUUGGAACAGGGCGCCAGAGAGGGUGAAAGCCCCGUUCGGCUCCUCGACUCGGAAAGCAGACAUCAAGCAGGCCCAAAGAGUCGGAUAGUUUGGGAAUGCUGUCCUAAAUGGGUGAUACAUGUCAUCUAAAGCUAAAUAUAAGCAAGAGACCGAUAGCAAACAAGUACCGUGAGGGAAAGAUGAAAAGAACUUUGAAAAGAGAGUUAAAAGUACGUGAAAUUGUUAUAAGGGAAACGAUUCAUGCUGCGCCAGGACAGAACCUUCCAGGGUGGGCUCACAAGGCCCGCCUGUAUCAGGUUCUGACCCGGUUGAUCCGCUUGAGGCGACCAGCAAACGCCUCCUGGGAAUGUGGCUCCACUUGUGGACGCUUUAUAGACCAGGAGAGGCUGCCGGUCCUGUCGCAAGUGUCGACGUUUGUCGAGGCAGACGGGUUCAGCAGAGCAGGUCUUCAUGGUCUGUUCUUGCUUGGCUCGUACCGUCAUCAACCCUGUGGCAUGAACCGACCCGUCUUGAAACACGGACCAAGGAGUGCAACUCUGAUGCGAGUCAUUGGGUGGCAAACCCAAAGGCGCAACGAAAGUAAGCUUCGGCACGUGGGAUACAGGCUUAACGGUUUGUUGCACCACGACCCGGUUCUGACCGCUUGUCUGGAUCGAGGUAGAGCAUCAUGGCUGCGACCCGAAAGAUGGUGAACUAUGCCUGACUAGGGUGAAGCCAGAGGAAACUCUGGUGGAGGCUCGUAGACAUUCUGACGUGCAAAUCGAUGUUCAAAGUUGGGUAUAGGGGCGAAAGACUAAUCGAACCAUCUAGUAGCUGGUUCCCUC
rnacentral:misc_RNA from 1 species